rnacentral:lncRNA from 1 species
AAUUUGUUUAUGGUAACAAAGGAGCUGGAAAACUUAUAAGUUGAUUGAUGAAAAAUAAUACCAUGGAUUUGAUUAUCUUGUCAUGGAGAGAGAUGUGGUGUGGACACUAUCAGCUUUGGUUCCACUGAAAGGUGUUUAUUGGAGCUCUUUUCCUAGAACUGAUAAUUGGAUUCAUGGUAUUCUGGAGAACAAGGAGGUGAUUGCGGUUGGUUUUUCAGACAAACUUCAAAUGGGAUGGCCAAAGUAUCUUGGAUGAAUAAACUAAACCUUAGGGAGUCUUCCUAGAAAUGAAGACCUUCAGAGGCCACAAGCAUUUUAGUGUGCCUCCCAACUUCCCUUAUAUUAUUCAAAAUAUAAACAAUAAAAUCUACAAAGAUGUGAAAGAAGUCC